rnacentral:rRNA from 1 species
AAAAACAUGUCUUUUUGUAAUUAAUUUAAAGUCUGACCUGCCCACUGAUAUAAAUUAAAUGGCCGCAGUAUUUUAACUGUGCAAAGGUAGCAUAAUCAUUAGUCUUUUAAUUGAAGGCUUGUAUGAAUGGUUGGACGAAAUAUAAUCUGUCUCAUAAAAAUUUAUAAUAGAAUUUUAUUUUUUAGUUAAAAAGCUAAAAUUAAAUUAAAAGACGAGAAGACCCUAUAGAUCUUUAUAUUUAAUAUAUUUAUUACUAUUUAGAUGUGUUAAGUAUUAAUUGUAUUAAUUAUUUUAUUGGGGUGAUACUAAAAUUUAAUAAACUUUUAUAAUAUAAAAUACAUUAAUUUAUGAAUAGUUGAUCCAUUAAUAGUGAUUAUAAGAUUAAGUUACCUUAGGGAUAACAGCGUAAUCUUCUUGGAGAGUUCAUAUUGAUAAGAAGGGUUGCGACCUCGAUGUUGGACUAAAAUAAAUUCUAGGUGUAGCAGUUUAGAAUAUUAAGUCUGUUCGACUUUUAAAUUUUUACAUGAU